AGGUUUCUCUGUCUAAGGGAGCCAUCUAGAGGCUGCUGGCUGGUUCUGGGCUGUCUGUCCUGGAAGGCUCUUCCGGAUGGUUUUCUCACAGAUCCAAUCCCAACUCUGAAACCGCUGAUCCCAGUCGUCCACGGUCUUUGAAAGCUAGAGGGACAUUUUGUCGUUGUUCCUGUGACUCGAGGCUCGAUUUGGCAGACCACAGAAAGCAGGAUGGCCAGCAGGAAUGAUGGCCGGCGGGACCUGUCAGUUUCAACUCUGCACCAUGGCUUGUUAUGCAACAAAGGGUCACUGAAACAACCCCACUUCACAGAAAUUCCAGCCCAGGCCUGAGCCCAUUAUACUGCCCUUGAUGAUACGUCCCAUGUAAAAUGGAUUGG